rnacentral:rRNA from 1 species
AUUGAACGCUGGCGGCAGGCCUAACACAUGCAAGUCGAGCGAGCGGCGGACGGGUGAGUAAUGUAUGGGGACUGCCCGAUAGAGGGGGAUAACUACUGGAAACGGUGGCUAAUACCGCAUACUAUCGGAUAACCCAUAUGGGAUUAGCUAGUAGGUGGGGUAAAGGCUCACCUAGGCGACGAUCUCUAGCUGGUCUGAGAGGAUGAUCAGAAAAACUGGGAAUGAGACACGGCCCAGACUCCCACAGAGGCAGCAGUGGGAAAUAUUGCACGAUGGGGGAAAGUCUGAUGAAGCCAUCCCGCGUGUAUGAAGAAAGCCUUAUGGGUGUAAAGUACUUUCAGCGGGGAGGCGUUACCCGCAGAAGAAACACCGGCUAACUCCGUGCCAGCAGCCGCGGUAAUUC